rnacentral:pre_miRNA from 1 species
GAAAUAAGGGCUUGAUCCAAAGUCCUCUGAAGUCAGUGGAAGUCCUUCCAUUGAUUUCAAUGGAUUUUGGAUCAGUCUUC